UACAGAGGUCUCAAGCGUUGUUCGGAUUCAUUGGGCGUAAAGGGUGCGUAGGCGGCGCGGUAAGUCGGGUGUGAAAUCUUGGAGCUUAACUCCGAAACUGCAUUCGAUACUGCCGUGCUUGAGGACUGGAGAGGAGACUGGAAUUUACGGUGUAGCGGUGAAAUGCGUAGAUAUCGUAAGGAAGACCAGUGGCGAAGGCGGGUCUCUGGACAGUUCCUGACGCUGAGGCGCGAAGGCUAGGGGAGCAAACGGG
rnacentral:rRNA from 1 species